rnacentral:rRNA from 1 species
GACGUAGGGGGCGAGCGUUGUCCGGAUUCAUUGGGCGUAAAGGGCGCGCAGGCGGCCCGGAAAGUCGGAUGUGAAAACUCGAGGCUCAACCUCGAGCGUGCACCCGAUACUGCCGGGCUUGAGGCAGGUAGGGGAGAUCGGAAUUCCUGGUGUAGCGGUGAAAUGCGCAGAUAUCGUAAGGAAGACCAGUGGCGAAGGCGGGUCUCUGGACAGUUCCUGACGCUGAGGCACGAAGGUCAGGGGAGCAAACGGG